CCUACGGGAGGCAGCAGUGAGGAAUAUUGGUCAAUGGACGAGAGUCUGAACCAGCCAAGUAGCGUGAAGGAUGACUGCCCUAUGGGUUGUAAACUUCUUUUAUAUGGGAAUAAUAUGUUCCACGUGGGGGAUUUUGUAUGUACCAUAUGAAUAAGGAUCGGCUAACUCCGUGCCAGCAGCCGCGGUAAUACGGAGGAUCCGAGCGUUAUCCGGAUUUAUUGGGUUUAAAGGGAGCGUAGGUGGACUGUUAAGUCAGUUGUGAAAAUUUGGGGCUCAACCGUAAAAUUGCAGUUGAAACUGGCAGUCUUGAGUACAGGCGAGGUGGGCGGAAUUAGUGGUGUAGCGGUGAAAUGCUUAGAUAUAACGAAGAACACCGAUAGCGAAGGCAGUUCACUGGACUGCAACUGACACUGAGGCUCGAAAGUGUGGGUAUCAAACAGGAUUAGAUACCCCGGUAGUC
rnacentral:rRNA from 1 species